rnacentral:rRNA from 1 species
GACGAACGCUGGCGGCGUGCUUAACACAUGCAAGUCGAGCGGUAAGGCCCUUUCGGGGGUACACGAGCGGCGAACGGGUGAGUAACACGUGGGUGACCUGCCUUUAGCUCUGGGAUAAGCCUGGGAAACCGGGUCUAAUACCGGAUAUGACUCCGCGGCGCAUGUUGUGGGGUGGAAAGCCUUGUGCGGCUGGAGAUGGGCCCGCGGCCUAUCAGCUUGUUGGUGGGGUGANGGCCUACCAAGGCGACGACGGGUAGCCGGCCUGAGAGGGCGACCGGCCACACUGGGACUGAGACACGGCCCAGACUCCCACGGGAGGCAGCAGUGGGGAAUCUUGCGCAAUGGGCGAAAGCCUGACGCAGCGACGCCGCGUGAGGGAUGACGGCCUCGGUUGUAA